rnacentral:tRNA from 1 species
ACACUGGUGUUUCAGUGGUAGAAUUCCCACCUUCAAUGCAAGAGACCUGGGUUCAAUUCUCAGCCAAUGCA